GGACCCGCACAAGCGGUGGAGCAUGUGGUUUAAUUCGACGCUAAGCGAAGAACCUUACCCGGGUUUGAAAUGCAGCUGCAUAUUCUAGAGAUAGAAUAGCCUUCGAGGGUGCUGCACAGGUGCUGCAUGGUUGUCGUCAGCUCGUGUCGUGAGAUGUUGGGUUAAGUCCCGCAACGAGCGCAACCCUCAUUCUGUGUUGUAUUUUUCACAGAAGACUGCCCUGGUUAACAGGGAGGAAGGUGGGGAUGACGUCAAAUCAGCAUGGCCCUUAUGUCCGGGGCUACACACGUGCUACAAUGGGAAGUACAAUGGGUUGCCAAACCGCAAGGUGGAGCUAAUCCCAUCAAAGCUUCUCUUAGUUCGGAUUGUCGGCUGAAACUCGCCGGCAUGAAGCUGGAAUCGCUAGUAACCGCGUAUCAGCCAUGGCGCGGUGAAUACGUUCUCGGGUCUU
rnacentral:rRNA from 1 species